rnacentral:rRNA from 1 species
GACGAACGCUGGCGGCGUGCCUAAUGCAUGCAAGUCGCACGCACGCGUCUUCGGACGCGUGAGUGGCGCACGGCUGAGGAACACGUGGGAACCUACCCGCGCGUGGGGGAUAACGUGCCGAAAGGCGUGCUAAUCCCGCAUACGCUCCAGCUUUGGCUGGAAGAAAGCUCCUGGGCGCGCGCGGCGGGGCCUGCGGCCCAUCAGGUCGUUGGCGGGGUAACGGCCCACCAAGCCUCUGACGGGUAGCUGGUCUGUGAGGACAACCAGCCAGACUGGGACUGAGACUCGGCCCAGACUCCUACGGGAGGCAGCAGCAAGGAAUUUUCCCCAAUGGGCGCAAGCCUGAGGGAGCAACGCCGCGUGCAGGACGACGGCCUUCGGGUUGUAAACUGCUUUUCGGAGGGAAGAGAUGGACGGUACCUCCGGAAUAAGACCCGGCUAACUCUGUGCCAGCAGCCGCCGCCGUAA